UAUGAACGCUAGCGGGAGGCCUAACACAUGCAAGCUGAGCGGUAGAGUUUCUUCGGAGACUUGAGAGCGGCGUACGGGUGCGGAACACGUGUGCAACCUGCCUUUAUCAGGGGGAUAGCCUUUCGAAAGGAAGAUUAAUACCCCAUAAUAUAUAGAGUGGCAUCACUUUAUAUUGAAAACUGAGGUGGAUAAAGAUGGGCACGCGCAAGAUUAGAUAGUUGGUGAGGUAACGGCUCACCAAGUCGAUGAUCUUUAGGGGGCCUGAGAGGGUGAUACCCCACCCUGGUACUGAGACACGGACCAGACUCCUACGGGAGGCAGCAGUGAGGAAUAUUGGACAAUGGGUUAGCGCCUGAUCCAGCCAUCCCGCGUGAAGGACGACGGCCCUAUGGGUUGUAAACUUCUUUUGUACAGGGAUAAACCUAUUUACGUGUAAAUAGCUGAAGGUACUGUACGAAUAAGCACCGGCUAACUCCGUGCCAGCCGCCGCUGUAA
rnacentral:rRNA from 1 species